rnacentral:rRNA from 1 species
CCAAGCGAAUAAGCGCAUUCGGUGAAUGCCUAGGCGGUAGAAGGCGAUGAAGGACGUGACAAUCUGCGAUAAGCCUCGGGGAGCUGAUAAUAAGCUUUGAUCCGGGGAUUUCCGAAUGGGAAAACCCAGCUGUUUUAACAGUUAUCAAAUACUGAAUACAUAGGUAUUUGAGGCAAACCCAGGGAACUGAAACAUCUAAGUACCUGGAGGAAAAGAAAUCAACCGAGAUUCCCUAAGUAGCGGCGAGCGAAAGGGGACCAGCCCAGACACCAUAAUCUUAUCUGACUUAACAAAAUGAUCUGGAAAGUUCAGCCAUAGUAGGUGAUAGCCCUGUAUGUGAAAAGUUAGAUGAGUGAGUGUCGAAGAGUAGGACGAGGCACGUGAAACCUUGUCUGAACAUAGGGGGACCAUCCUCUAAGGCUAAAUACUAACUACCGACCGAUAGUGAACCAGUACCGUGAGGGAAAGGCGAAAAGAACCCCGGCGAGGGGAGUGAAAUAGAACCUGAAACCGUGUGCGUACAAGCAGUAGGAGCCCAAUUUAUUGGGUGACUGCGUACCUUUUGUAUAAUGGGUCAGUGAGUUACUUUUAGUGGCAAGCUUAACUUUCUUAGGGAGGCGAAGGGAAACCGAGUCUUAAUAGGGCGUUUAGUCGCUAGGAGUAGACCCGAAACCAGACGAUCUAUCCAUGGCCAGGGUGAAGGUGGGGUAAUACCUACUGGAGGCCCGAACCCACUUAUGUUGAAAAAUGAGGGGAUGAGCUGUGGAUAGGAGUGAAAGGCUAAUCAAGUCUGGAGAUAGCUGGUUCUCCCCGAAAACUAUUUAGGUAGUGCCUCAUGUAUUACUCUCGGGGGUAGAGCACUGUUUCGGCUAGGGGGACAUCCCGUCUUACCAAACCGAUGCAAACUCCGAAUACCGAGAAGUAGAGCAUGGGAGACACACAGCGGGUGCUAACGUCCGUUGUGGAAAGGGAAACAACCCAGAUCGCCAACUAAGGUCCCAAAAUUACAGCUAAGUGGGAAACGAAGUGAGAAGUCAAAGACAGCCAGGAGGUUGGCUUAGAAGCAGCCAUCCUUUAAAGAAAGCGUAACAGCUCACUGGUCAAGUCGACUUGCGCGGAAGAUUUACCGGGGCUUAAGCUGUAUACCGAAGUUGCGAAUGCAUAUUUAUAUGCGUGGUAGGGGAGCGUUCUGUAAGUCUGUGAAGGUGUAUCGCGAGAUAUGCUGGAGAUAUCAGAAGUGAGAAUGCUGACAUGAGUAACGAUAAUGCGGGUGAAAAACCCGCACGCCGAAAACCCAAGGGUUCCUGCGCAAUGCUAAUCAGCGCAGGGUUAGUCGGUUCCUAAGGCGAGACUGAAAAGUGUAGUCGAUGGACAACAGGUUAAUAUUCCUGUACCGCAAUUACUGCGAUGGGGGGACGGAGAAGGCUAAGCAUACCGGGUGUUGGUUAUCCCGGGGAAAGUAUGUAGGUAGGAAAUCUUAGAAAAUCUGGAUUUCUAUUACCAAGGUACGAGACCAUUGAUUUUUUAAUCAAGAAGUUGCUGACGCCAUGCUUCCAAGAAAAUCCUCUAAGCUUCAGGUAAAUUGUGACCGUACCCUAAACCGACACAGGUGGGUGGGAUGAGAAUUCUAAGGCGCUUGAGAAAACUCUGGUGAAGGAACUAGGCAAAUUGGUACCGUAACUUCGGGAGAAGGUACGCCUUUGUUGGUGAAAGAACUUGCUUCUAGAGCUGACGAAGGUCUCAGAAACCAGGUGGCUGCGACUGUUUAAUAAAAACACAGCACUCUGCUAACUCGUAAGAGGAUGUAUAGGGUGUGACGCCUGCCCGGUGCCGGAAGGUUAAUUGAUGGGGUUAGCUUUAUGCGAAGCUCUUGAUCGAAGCCCCGGUGAACGGCGGCCGUAACUAUAACGGUCCUAAGGUAGCGAAAUUCCUUGUCGGGUAAGUUCCGACCUGCACGAAUGGCGUAACGAGCUGUGAAGAUGCAGUUUAAACGCCGCAAGACGGAAAGACCCCGUGCACCUUUACUACAGCUUUGCAUUGGACUUUGAUUCUGUUUGUGCAGGAUAGGUGGGAGGCUUUGAAGCAUAUGCGCCAGCGUAUGUGGAGCCAACCUUGAAAUACCACCCUGACAUAAUUGAAGUUCUAACCUAGGUCCAUUAUCUGGAUCAGGGACAUUGUAUGGUGGGUAGUUUGACUGGGGCGGUCUCCUCCUAAAGAGUAACGGAGGAGCACAAAGGUUCCCUCAACUCGGUCGGCCAUCGAGUUUAGAGUGCAAAGGCAUAAGGGAGCUUGACUGCGAGACAGACAUGUCGAGCAGGAGCGAAAGCUGGUCUUAGUGAUCCGGUGGUUCUGUAUGGAAGGGCCAUCGCUCAACGGAUAAAAGGUACGCCGGGGAUAACAGGCUGAUUCCCCCCAAGAGUUCACAUCGACGGGGGAGUUUGGCACCUCGAUGUCGGCUCAUCACAUCCUGGGGCUGUAGCAGGUCCCAAGGGUAUGGCUGUUCGCCAUUUAAAGUGGUACGCGAGCUGGGUUUAGAACGUCGUGAGACAGUUCGGUCCCUAUCUGCGGUGUUCGUUGGAAACUUGAGGGAAGCUGCUCCUAGUACGAGAGGACCGGAGUGGACGUACCCCUGGUGUUCCGGUUGUCACGCCAGUGGCACUGCCGGGUAGCUAUGUACGGAAGGGAUAACCGCUGAAAGCAUCUAAGCGGGAAGCCCCACCCAAGAUUAGGUUUCCCUGGAUCCAUGAGAUCCCUGAAGGGUCAUCGGAGACUACGAUGUUGAUAGGUCAGGUGUGGAAGCUCAGUAAUGAGUGAAGCUAACUGAUACUAAUUACCCGUGAGGCUUGGUCUU